GUUUUUCAGGUAGAUAUAGAUUUGGAAGAUGACCUUAUAGUUAAACAAGUAGUUGAAGAACUAGUGCUUGAGGUUAUAAAUACUAAUAAAACAGAUUUCUCUGUUUUCAAAUCUGAAGAUAUUGAUUCUGGGGAUGAUACUUCUGAUUAUUAUGAUUUUGAAAUAAAUAAAUCUUUUGAAGUAAAGACUACCAAUUGCUCUCUGGAAUCAAUUAGUUACACUGAUUACUCUCCAGAAUGUUCUGUUAAUAAGUCAUCUGAAGUGAAUAAUAGUGGCAAUGAUAACCAUGAAUAUUCUUUAAAU
rnacentral:lncRNA from 1 species